UCUUUGAUGGCCAGCUAGCGCCUUCCUGGUUGUACCCUAAUUAGUCUCUCCCUUUGUGAUGCCCAGAUUUGAGUCCUGUAUCCUGCCCAGGAUCUCCCUGGGAUGGGAGAGGAAUAAAGUUACCCUUCCCUGGUCCUCACAUUGAGGUGUGGGAAUUUAGGCUCCCAGUGGCUGAGUGACUCAGAUCAGGACAAACACAGCGAGAGCCUCCCUCGCAGCAGGCCUGAUUCAAGAAACACAGCAAAAGGCAAAAGUUAAAAUUAACCUGUUUCAGCACCAGCAGCACCAGUGUGCGUUUUCACCCGGCGGCGGCAGGCGAAUUCCUAUUUCUGUGGCCCGGGAAACAGAAACAGCUUACUCUCAUUCCAGCAUUCCAGUAUUGGAUUUGUACCCAGGACUUUGCACAUUCUAGAGCCUCUGAUUAAGCUGGACCAUCAGUUAUCUAGACGGGAAGGCCCAGUGAGCUCCGGAGAUCCACCUGUCUCUGACCAGCCCUCCUUCCCAGCACGAUCAUUACAGACACUCGCUACCAUGCUAUUCUGUGACACUCCCUGCUCUGUGAGUGGUGUAGAGGAUCGGAACUCCAGGCUCUAUGGUUUGCAUAACAGGUAAUUUUCUCACUGAGCAACCUCCCUUUAACAUGAGAUUAAAAAAACCUCAUGUUUUUUA